rnacentral:rRNA from 1 species
UACGUAGGGGACAAGCGUUGUCCGGAUUUAUUGGGCGUAAAGAGCUCGUAGGUGGUUCGGUAAGUCGGAUGUGAAAUCUCCAGGCUCAACCUGGAGGGUCAUUCGAUACUGCCGUGACUAGAGGUCGGUAGGGGAGUGUGGAAUUCCUGGUGGAGCGGUGAAAUGCGCAGAUAUCAGGAGGAACACCCGUAGCGAAGGCGGCACUCUGGGCCGAUACUGACACUGAGGAGCGAAAGCGUGGGGAGCGAACAGG